GAAGAAUUAAAGAGAAUAUCCUCAGAGCCUCAAAAUAUCACAGACUCACAAUUCCAAUGACGGGUCGUUUCACAUCCGACUCAAUAACUUUAUUUACAUUCCUUACUUUUUUCAGCAUAUUUUUGAAGAGCAUAUUGUUACUACUAGAUGCAAGAAGCUUUCUUAAUUCACAAUCUUUGGUGGAAACCUUUGCUACAUCCCUUAUUGAAGCAGCAAUUGACGUAGAACAAGAAGAAACCUGACACCUACAUCUUGUCUUUCCCUAUGUGUCAUUUUGUAUGGGGUGAUUGUACACUCUUUGUAUGAUAAUAAACAGUAUUUGAAAAUUAA
rnacentral:lncRNA from 1 species